GCCCCUCAUCAGCUUUGUUGCCCUUAAAGUGUAGUAUCUGUUCUUAUCAGUUUAAUAUCUGAUGCAUCCUUGAUGAGAGGACUUUAUACUAAAGGGAUUUGUGGGCAUGGGAGUUGGAUCCAGAGCUUGCUCCCUCCGCUCCAUGCAUCGUCCUGGUAUUGCAGUGCCUCCACUUUCUUUUUUUAACAG